rnacentral:lncRNA from 1 species
GCAUUUUGUUUUUCUAUUUUUUCUCUUUUAUUUCUUCAUUCAUUUUUUGUUUUUAAAUGAGCCGGGAUAGUUUGGGGACGAUGGUUAGGCCGGAGUUCCGGAAACUUUCCCUUCCGCUCUUCCCUACUUUCGUUUUGUGUUUAGACGAAUAAUCUUUUUCCUUUUCACGGUUUUUCCCACUGGAUUUUCAGUGAAAAGGUUUUAAUGAGGUUCGGCCCUUAGUCUGCUCCUUCUGUGCUUUCAAGGGUUUUUUUUAGGUUUUUCUUUUCUUUUCUUUUAUAAAAUCAUCAUUUAAUAAUUUUUUGUUUUUAAAUUCAAUUUUGUUUUUAAUUUUCUCAUUUUCUAUUUAUGAAUCUUGCAAUUUAUUUUCCUUUUUCUCUAUUUUUAAAACAUGUUUUAAUCUUAAUUAUGUAAUUUAAAUGUAAUUAUAUAAUUUUAGUUUUUGAAAUAGAUGGCAAAUUAUUGAAUUACUUUACUAUUUAAAUAUCAA